AUAUAUAUAUCGGUGGUGCAGUAUUCUAGUCGGAAGUUGUCUAUUCAAAGGCGGGGAUAAAAGACCGUCGCGGGCAUAUCGAUGAAGUUUCUGGUGCUGGCUUUGGUUGCCCAAACCAGGGCUUGUGCUGGGAGUUAAGAUUUAUGGGCAUUUCAUAACGGCAUAUGAAUAUUGCCCCAUAUUUCGCGGAGACCAUACCGGGUGAGAUUUUUCUUACUCGAUUGGAUUAAACCUGUAUUGCGGUAUCAAAGCUGUGUGCAGUGUAGCCUGCCUUGAGUGUUUUUGGUGAAUUUUUGUUCACUUUAACCGUUGUUGGCCAAACUCGGUUGGAAUCGCUUAAUGAAACCAAAAGUGCAAAAGAGGCUAGAUUGGAAUUACUUCCGUCAAGGAAAUCUUCUAGACUGUAUUAUAUAUUGAGGAUUAUAGUGUGCUCUUUUACGGUAAUCCGGUCAAGCUGACGGCAACGUUGCUGGGCUUUACGCAAUAGGAAACUUCUCAUACGGCGACGGUGAGUUGUAAAGCGGGGAAAUCCAACCGGACCUUAUGGCGCAAGGUUUACUCAGUGUAUACCACCGAUUUUUUAU
rnacentral:sRNA from 1 species